CCGUUGCAUCAUGGGAAAUGUAAGAUACAGUGUUUAUGCAGCUCAUGCCAAACUAGACAUCCUAAAUACUAAAUAUGCUAUAAUUUCAACUUGCUUUCAAACAACCAACAUCACACAGAAUCAUGCAAGAAUAAUAAAAUGAAAGAAGUUUCCACUCGCAUGUAGAACUUUGAUCAAACAAAGGAGGGAAAAACAAAAAUCCCACGCACCCAAAAGAAUUACCCGCUAGCUUUCAGUUCCUCUGCGACUGCAGGUUUCCGCGUGCCAGCGCCAAUUAUAAGCAGCCCAUUAUUCAUAAAUAACUUUAAAUUAUACAUACUGUUUUUAGACCCUGUGAUAAUUCCUAAUUAGUCACUAUGUUGAUGAAAUAUCUGGUGGUAUAUCAGCGAGGAACAGCAAAUGAGGCCCAGAUGCCCAGUGAAAGCUUUGUCUAAUAAAGCUAACAGAAGUUACUCUGAUCUCUCUCUCUCUCGCAGUGUGUAUGUCAGUGUGUCUGUACACACAUACAAAACAGUUGUUUGUUCUUCAUUAUUUCUGUGUCCUGCUCCUGGCACACUGCACAGCCAGCCUGGCAGCCAAUUGCUCCCAUGACCCUGCAGUCUUGCCACGCUAACAAGCUAGCGGCCACACAAACCGCCGCUGAACCGGUCGGCUAGCGAGCGCGCGCGCUCAGAGAGAAACAGCAAAAACAAAUAAGCUUCAGGUGAAUAAAAGCAACUGUGUAUGUUGGACAACUGCCGUUCCCUCGUGGCUUUUGUUAGCAGGCGAGAAGAUUAGGACAGCAGUACAGUUAUUGAAGCAUCAUGUUUUCUGCAAAAGACAUAUUUGCUCCGACUCUGUCAACAUCACAAAUGCACGGGGGAACCUGAGCCACUCCCUCUUUACCCAAACACUCCGUCUUUCCCCACCACAGAGCAGCGAGAGCGAGAGAGCGAGCGAGGCAGAAGGAGAAGCGGAGCAGAGCUGAGCGGGACACAACAGACUUCAUGAUGAAUUACAUGAUCACCUGCUAUGCCUCAGAGCCUUUCAUUCAGACAGAUGAGGCAGGCCGGGGGCAGGUGGCCGCAGCCCCCAAACAGCUCUGUCUAAACAACCAGCUGGAUGAGGUGCCGAAGAAACUUCACUCACAUCCCCGCUACCUCGCCGACAUCUCUUGCAGGGCGCUCGGGCUUUCUCACGUCUCCUCGUGUUACAACCACAAACUUCAGUAUCCUGAGCAGUUCAUCCAUGCCGGAUCUACCUGAGAGUUGUGCGCAAGCGGUUUGAUUGGGAGCAGACUACAUCCGUUUAAUGGCCUGUGGAUUAAACGACUGGACGGGGCGAUCAGCAACGAGCAAAUAUAAGGAGAGAUUGAAGAGAAACUGGCCACUCAAAGGUACAUUGAUUGGCGGCAGACUGCAAUCGAUGAUUUGGCCGGUAGAUUUACGUCAGCAACAUCUCGACCACCAUUGUCAAUCUACAUCAAGACUGUAGUAGUUGGGCAGGGUGGCGAGGUAUAAAUUCAUAAUUCCAUGGUGAAACCUUGUGGUCCAAAUCUUUCUAUCAAUUGUGGCAGAAGAGCACAUCCAGAGUCAAGUGGACGGGACAACGAACAAAUAUACUAAGAGAUUUCAAAGAAAUUUCAGAGAAAUCUAUUGGUAGACAUUUUGAGCAUCUACCCAGGGGUAAAUGACUCCACAAGGAGUGGAGUUUUGACCACAGCUCCUCCAAGUUUCCCACAUUCCUCCCAGGCUCCGGCCCACAUUCACACCCACUGAGAGGAGCUCACUACCAAUGCAGACACAGCCAAUUUGGCUAAAACCAAAUCAAACACUAACCGGCCAGAGUGAGACUUGACAAUGGAGGAGAAAGGGCUUCAGAGAACGUUAGUGAACAAACAGCCGAGGUCAAAGAACACAUCCGACAGGUCAGGGAGAAGAAGUUAAACAAAGAAGUAGCCAAGAGGCCUGUGGUCACUCUGGAGGAGCUGCAGAAAUCCACACCUCAGGCGGGUGAAUCUGUUGACGGGACGACAAUUAGUCACAAACUCCACAAUUCUGGCCUUUAUGAAAGUCCAACACUGUGUAGUAUACACAGCAUGUGGAAGAAGAUAUCCUGGUCAACUGAGACGUUUUACAUACAAAACACAAUAGAAAACUAACACUGCACAUUAAUCUGAAUAAACCAUCAUCAAGGGGAAACACUGAGAUGAAUGCAUGACGCUGUGAGGAGGCUUUUCUUUAGCAGCAACAGAGCCAGUCAGAUGUAAUGAGAAGAUGGAUGAAGCUAAACAGAGCAGCACUGGAAGCAAACAAGUUAGAGGCCGCAGAAGACAAGAGACUGGGACGAAGGUUCACCUUCCAGCUGGACAAUGACCCUAGACAUACAGUGACAACUAUAUCAGUGAUGAUCUAGAUCAAAGCUGGGGCAAUAAUCCAAAUUCAGAAUCUAUGGCAAUACUUUGAUUUUCAGAGAGACUCUCCAUGCCAUCCGACUCGACUUAAGUUAUUUUGUUGAAAUGAACGGGCAAAAAUCUUAGUCUGUAAAAGUGUCAAGCUGGUAGACACAAACGCCAAAUAACUUGGAGCUGUAAUUACACCGAAGGCUUCUGUUUUUCAAAGUAAGGACAAACAAAUAAACUCAUUCUAUGUAUUAUUUUUCUUCGACUUGUCAAAAACAUUUCACUGGUUUGUGUUGGUUUGUCAUGUAAAAUCCAAAUCAAACACGUUGAAGUUGUGGUUGUAACGUGACAAAACGUGGAAACUGUUCUCUAAUUUUAUAAAAUGAUAAAAAAAUACUAAACCACUGAGUCAAAUGUU